CCCUUAGAUGUUCUGGGCUGCACGCGCGCUACACUGAAGCUAUCAACACGUUUUCCCUCCCUGAGAAGGGCGGGUAACCUUUUGAAUCAGCUUCGUGGUAGGGAUCGGGGCUUGCAAUUGUUCCCCGUGAACCAGGAAUUCCUAGUAGACGCGAGUCAUAAGCUCGCAUCGAUUAAGUCCCUGCCCUUUUUACACACCGCCCGUCGCUACUACCGAUUGAACGUUUUAGUGAGGCAUUUGGACCGACGCAUCUCAGUUUAACCGCUGGUUUGUGUUGGAAAGACUUCCAAACUUGAGCGUUUAGAGGAAGUAAAAGUCGUAACA
rnacentral:rRNA from 1 species